GACAAACGCUGGGAAUCUUUGAGUUCCUUGAGGAAAGUCCUUGCUCGUACUAUCUGAGAUGAUAGUAGUGAUCGUAUAUAGGGAAUAAAUAACCUAUAGCAGUUUUUUAACUGACGGCAGUAUGAAUCUAAGUCUUUGAUAUGAGGAGUACUGAAGUGCCGCAGUGACGAUGCUUCUAGAAAUGGAAGAGUGAAACGUGGUAAACCCUGCGAACGAGAAACCCAAAAUUUGGUAGGGGAGUUUUGAAUUUUAGAAAUGAAUAAAAUCAAAGAGCAAUAUGCUAGAUAGAUGUUUGUCACCUAGAAAUAGGUACAGAACAAGGCUUAUA
rnacentral:RNase_P_RNA from 1 species